UACGAAGGGGGGCUAGCGUUGUUCGGAAUUACUGGGCGUAAAGCGCACGUAGGCGGAUAUUUAAGUCAGGGGUGAAAUCCCAGAGCUCAACUCUGGAACUGCCUUUGAUACUGGGGUAUCUUGAGUAUGGAAGAGGUAAGUGGAAUUGCGAGUGUAGAGGUGAAAUUCGUAGAUAUUCGCAGGAACACCAGUGGCGAAGGCGGCUUACUGGUCCAUUACUGACGCUGAGGUGCGAAAGCGU
rnacentral:rRNA from 1 species